GUGUUCAUUCAGCAGCACAUAUGCUAAAAUUAGAACAAUGAGGAUAAAAUUAACAUGAGCCCUGCACAAAGAAGACGCACAAAUUCCUGAAGUGUUCCAUACUUUU